CGGACGGGUGAGUAACGCGUGGGGAACCUGCCCUGUACCGGGGGAUAGCAGCCGGAAACGGCUGAUAAUACCGCAUAAGCGCACGAAUGUCGCAUGACAUGGUGUGAAAAACUCCGGUGGUAUAGGAUGGACCCGCGUCUGAUUAGCCGGUUGGUGGGGUAAAAGCCUACCAAAGCGAAGAUCAGUAGCCGAGUUGAGAGACUGACCGGCCACAUUGGGACUGAGACACGGCCCAGACUCCUACGGGAGGCAGCAGAU
rnacentral:rRNA from 1 species